GGUGAACGCUGGCGGUAGGCCUAACACAUGCAAGUCGAACGGCAGCACAGUAAGAGCUUGCUCUUACAGGUGGCGAGUGGCGGACGGGUGAGGAAUACAUCGGAAUCUACUUUUUCGUGGGGGAUAACGUAGGGAAACUUACGCUAAUACCGCAUACGACCUACGGGUGAAAGCAGGGGAUCUUCGGACCUUGCGCGAUUGAAUGAGCCGAUGUCGGAUUAGCUAGUUGGCGGGGUAAAGGCCCACCAAGGCGACGAUCCGUAGCUGGUCUGAGAGGAUGAUCAGCCACACUGGAACUGAGACACGGUCCAGACUCCUACGGGAGGCAGCAGUGGGGAAUAUUGGACAAUGGGCGCAAGCCUGAUCCAGCCAUACCGCGUGGGUGAAGAAGGCCUUCGGGUUGUAAAGCCCUUUUGUUGGGAAAGAAAAGCAGCAGGUUAAUACCCCGCUGUUCUGACGGUACCCAAAGAAUAAGCACCGGCUAACUUCGUG
rnacentral:rRNA from 1 species